rnacentral:tRNA from 1 species
CGGCGUCGCUGGCGAAAGUGGCUGGAGCGGCGGCGAGGCUCUGCCAGUUGCCUGCGAGCGAGCGGAGCGCGAUGGUUUCAUUCCGGCCGACGCCGA